rnacentral:lncRNA from 10 species
CAAUUAGCUGCUGCCGCGCCUUGGAGUCCGGAGUAACUUGGCCAGGCUGGCCCCGAGCGGAACUGGAGAAAGCUGAGGGGUCUGUGAAAUGGUGGGGGCUUACAAAUCGGUGCAGCUUGGACUAACAGGCUCCGGCGGCCACUUUGUUUUCUGGACAUGCUUUGGACUGUGAGCCGAGCCUCUAUGAAUCAUCACUUCAGCCUCUGAUUGGUCCUGGGCCAAACUUUCACUUCAGCCCCUGAUUGGUCUUGGGCCAAAAUUUCACUUCAGCCUCUGAUUGGUCCCAGGCUAAGGUCCCGGGCCAAGCGAAGUCGUGCUAUCUCCAAGACAGCUCACAGACCAGUGAGCACAUUCUUCCUCUUCCCAGUUCACAAAACCCCCAGAUUCAGCCUCCUAGUUGGCAACCCUCUUUCGGGUCCCCUCUCUGCUGGGGAGAGCUUUCUUCUUUUGCUUAUUAAACUUCUG